rnacentral:rRNA from 1 species
UGCGGCACGCUUAACACAUGCAAGUCGAACGGAGAUAUUUGGUUUACUGAGAUAUCUUAGUGGCGGACGGGUGAGUAACACGUGAGCAACCUGCCUUUGAGAGAGGGAUAGCUUCUGGAAACGGAUGGUAAUACCUCAUGACAUACUUUUAUCGCAUGGUAGAAGUAUCAAAGAUUUAUCACUCAGAGAUGGGCUCGCGUCUGAUUAGCUAGUUGGUGAGGUAACGGCUCACCAAGGCGACGAUCAGUAGCCGGACUGAGAGGUUGAACGGCCACAUUGGGACUGAGACACGGCCCAGACUCCUACGGGAGGCAGCAGUGGGGAAUAUUGCACAAUGGGGGAAACCCUGAAUGCAGCGAUGCCGCGUGGAGGAAGAAGGUUUUCGGAUUGUAAACUCCUGUCUUAAAGGACGAUAAUGACGGUACUUUAGGAGGAAGCUCCGGCUAACUACGUGCCAGCAGCUGC